rnacentral:rRNA from 1 species
GACGAACGCUGGCGGCGUGCUUAACACAUGCAAGUCGAACGGAAAGGCCCUGCUUUUGUGGGGUGCUCGAGUGGCGAACGGGUGAGUAACACGUGAGUAACCUGCCCUUGACUUUGGGAUAACUUCAGGAAACUGGGGCUAAUACCGGAUAGGAGCUCCUGCUGCAUGGUGGGGGUUGGAAAGUUUCGGCGGUUGGGGAUGGACUCGCGGCUUAUCAGCUUGUUGGUGGGGUAGUGGCUUACCAAGGCUUUGACGGGUAGCCGGCCUGAGAGGGUGACCGGCCACAUUGGGACUGAGGUACGGCCCAGACUCCUACGGGAGGCAGCAGUGGGGAAUAUUGCACAAUGGGCGGAAGCCUGAUGCAGCAACGCCGCGUGCGGGAUGACGGCCUUCGGGUUGUAAACCGCUUUCGCCUGUGACGAAGCGUGAGUGACGGUAAUGGGUAAAGAAGCACCGGCUAACUACGUGCCAGCAGCCGCGGUGAUACGUAGGGUGCGAGCGUUGUCCGGAUUUAUUGGGCGUAAAGGGCUCGUAGGUGGUUGAUCGCGUCGGAAGUGUAAUCUUGGGGCUUAACCCUGAGCGUGCUUUCGAUACGGGUUGACUUGAGGAAGGUAGGGGAGAAUGGAAUUCCUGGUGGAGCGGUGGAAUGCGCAGAUAUCAGGAGGAACACCAGUGGCGAAGGCGGUUCUCUGGGCCUUUCCUGACGCUGAGGAGCGAAAGCGUGGGGAGCGAACAGGCUUAGAUACCCUGGUAGUCCACGCUGUAAACGGUGGGUACUAGGUGUGGGGUCCAUUCCACGGGUUCCGUGCCGUAGCUAACGCUUUAAGUACCCCGCCUGGGGAGUACGGCCGCAAGGCUAAAACUCAAAGGAAUUGACGGGGCCCCGCACAAGCGGCGGAGCAUGCGGAUUAAUUCGAUGCAACGCGUAGAACCUUACCUGGGUUUGACAUGGAUCGGGAGUGCUCAGAGAUGGGUGUGCCUCUUUUGGGGUCGGUUCACAGGUGGUGCAUGGCUGUCGUCAGCUCGUGUCGUGAGAUGUUGGGUUAAGUCCCGCAACGAGCGCAACCCUUGUUCACUGUUGCCAGCACGUUAUGGUGGGGACUCAGUGGAGACCGCCGGGGUCAACUCGGAGGAAGGUGGGGAUGACGUCAAGUCAUCAUGCCCCUUAUGUCCAGGGCUUCACGCAUGCUACAAUGGCUGGUACAGAGAGUGGCGAGCCUGUGAGGGUGAGCGAAUCUCGGAAAGCCGGUCUCAGUUCGGAUUGGGGUCUGCAACUCGACCCCAUGAAGUCGGAGUCGCUAGUAAUCGCAGAUCAGCAACGCUGCGGUGAAUACGUUCCCGGGGCU